AUUGAACGCUGGCGGCAGGCCUAACACAUGCAAGUCGAGCGGUAACAGGAAGGAAGCUUGCUUUCUUUGCUGACGAGCGGCGGACGGGUGAGUAAUGCUUGGGAAUCUGCCCAGUAGUGGGGGACAACAGUUGGAAACGACUGCUAAUACCGCAUACACCCUACGGGGAAAAGGAGGGGACCUUCGGGCCUUCUGCGAUUGGAUAAGCCUAAGUGAGAUUAGCUAGUUGGUGAGGUAAUGGCUCACCAAGGCGACGAUCUUUAGCUGGUCUGAGAGGAUGAUCAGCCACACUGGAACUGAGACACGGUCCAGACUCCUACGGGAGGCAGCAGUGGGGAAUAUUGCACAAUGGAGGAAACUCUGAUGCAGCCAUGCCGCGUGUGUGAAGAAGGCUCUAGGGUUGUAAAGCACUUUCAGCGAGGAGGAACGGUUAGUAGUUAAUACCUGCUAGCUUUGACGUUACUCGCAGAAGAAGCACCGGCUAACUCCGUGCCAGCAGCCGCGGUAAUACGGAGGGUGCAAGCGUUAAUCGGAAUUACUGGGCGUAAAGCGCGCGUAGGCGGUUGAUUAAGUCAGAUGUGAAAGCCCAGGGCUCAACCUUGGAACUGCAUUUGAAACUGGUUAACUAGAGUUUUGUAGAGGGUGGUAGAAUUUCAGGUGUAGCGGUGAAAUGCGUAGAGAUCUGAAGGAAUACCAGUGGCGAAGGCGGCCACCUGGACAAUAACUGACGCUGAGGCGCGAAGGCGUGGGGAGCAAACGGGAUUAGAUACCCCGGUAGUCCACGCAGUAAACGAUGUCUAUUAGAAGUUUGUGGCUAUAUGCCGUGGGUUUCAAAGCUAACGCAUUAAAUAGACCGCCUGGGGAGUACGGCCGCAAGGUUAAAACUCAAAUGAAUUGACGGGGGCCCGCACAAGCGGUGGAGCAUGUGGUUUAAUUCGAUGCAACGCGAAGAACCUUACCAUCCCUUGACAUCCAGAGAAUCACCUAGAGAUAGAUGAGUGCCUUCGGGAACUCUGAGACAGGUGCUGCAUGGCUGUCGUCAGCUCGUGUUGUGAAAUGCUGGGUUAAGUCCCGCAACGAGCGCAACCCUUAUCCUUACUUGCCAGCGGGUUAUGCCGGGAACUUUAGGGAGACUGCCGGUGAUAAACCGGAGGAAGGUGGGGAUGACGUCAAGUCAUUAUGGCCCUUACGAGUAGGGCUACACACGUGCUACAAUGGCGAGUACAGAGGGAAGCGAGACAGUGAUGUGGAGCGGACCCCUUAAAGCUCGUCGUAGUCCGGAUCGGAGUCUGCAACUCGACUCCGUGAAGUCGGAAUCGCUAGUAAUCGCAAAUCAGAAUGUUGCGGUGAAUACGUUCCCGGGCCUUGUACACACCGCCCGUCACACCAUGGGAGUGGGCUGCACCGGAAGUAGAUAGCUUAACCUUCGGGAGGGCGUUUACCACGGUGUGAUU
rnacentral:rRNA from 1 species